CAAUACCAACAGGCUUUUGAUUGACAUUGUCAUUGUUUUUCCUUAAACACCCUUGCUUUAGUUUCAAAAUAUUUAAAUUAAUAACAUACAAUCCCUUUAAUCUUUCUUCUAGAGAGUAGGGACCAUCUUCAUACUAAGAUGGAUGGUGUCACGUAUGUAUGGGCAUACAUGGAGAGAAGAUUGAGGAAUCAAAGCAUAGUCCCCCACAAAACAAAAAGAUAAAAAAAAGUAAAAAAAGAAAAGAAAAAUAAGGUGGGUUGGAAUUAGAAAGAUUGCAGAAGCAUUCGUUCCAAGGCCAAAUAUCCAAAAAUC
rnacentral:lncRNA from 1 species